AAUUAUGAAGCAAUUUUGCAUUCAGUUUCGACCUGAAAGAUAGACAUUAUAGUCCUUAAUUAUUUAUA
rnacentral:tRNA from 1 species